AGCUCUUAGUUGUGUUUGCCCGCAAGUAUUUGCAGCAGCAGUAAUAAGCGUGCCGCAGGCCCAGCUUGCUCUCUGCUAGUGUUUGCGCGCAGCAUGUCGCAGAAGACGCGAGGCCGCUACAGGCGGUACUUGGAACCGAACUCAACUGAUCAAGUACCAAAGCAGACCCUCAGCAGCAUUGCCAAGCGAGCGAAAACACGCAGCGCUAGCAAGGAACACUGAAGUACUUGUGCCAUGCAGAGCCAGCCCCAGAAAGGACGCAUGAAGGUGUUUUCAAGGCGAUGCUUCAAGCUGUACACCAGAGAACUACAGUCGCUGUGUGACGGAUCUUGGAAUCGGGGCCGAGGUGCACCAGGCAGGUGUAUGCUGACGGCAAGGGUCCAGCAAGGGCUGAUGUUGAGGACCGUGUCAUCCAUUGGUGCUCUGAUGGCACUGGCAUAGUACAGCAAAAGCUGGUGUCUGCACGAUCAGUCGCAGCUGAUUCAUGCUAUUUCACAAGCUUAGCUGCAGGAACAAUGCAAAGGACAGGUGGAGGUGGCUGGUGCGAGAAGCCGUCGGGAGUGGUGUCUUGGUGUGGUAAUCUCGGUGUAUCUGCAGUAUCAAUGUCUCAUGAGGGAUUCCGAUAGCUGUCAUUGCUUAAUUUAUUAAGAGCAGGUUUACUUGCUGCUGGGGACAUGAAUAUAGAGUACACGAAUUUGGCGGCAGCAGUGAUACCAGAAAAAGCGGCAGUUGUGUAGGACUUGCAGCUGCAGCAUGGUG